GGGCCCGCACAAGCGGUGGAGCAUGUGGUUUAAUUCGAUGAUACGCGAGGAACCUUACCAGGGCUUAAAUGUAAGUUGCAUAAACUAGAGAUAGUUUUUUCUUCGGACUACUUACAAGGUGCUGCAUGGUUGUCGUCAGCUCGUGCCGUGAGGUGUCAGGUUAAGUCCUAUAACGAGCGCAACCCCUAUCGUUAGUUGCCAACAGGUUAAGCUGGGAACUCUAACGAGACUGCCGGUGCAAACCGCGAGGAAGGUGGGGAUGACGUCAAAUCAUCACGGCCCUUACGUCCUGGGCUACACACGUGCUACAAUGGCCGGUACAGAGAGCAGCCACUCCGCGAGGAGGAGCGAAUCUAUAAAACCGGUCUCAGUUCGGAUCGCAGUCUGCAACUCGACUGCGUGAAGCUGGAAUCGCUAGUAAUCGG
rnacentral:rRNA from 1 species